rnacentral:tRNA from 1 species
CAGAAUGUAGCGCAGUCGGUUAGAGUACCUGUCUUAUAUACAGGCGGUCGCAGGUUCGAUUCCUGCCAUUCUGA